GAUGCAGAUUGGCAUGUGAUGUGUGGACUGACGAGUCUUUCAAAAUUCGAUUAUCAUUCUUGGGAUUGUACUGAAAUUGAAUGUUCUUUAUAAAACAUUUUUCUUCUUCUGUUUACUGUCCUAGUGUAGUCCAGUCAAAAAAAGGUUCAAGAAAAGAAACGAGAAGACCCAACCACCACCCACCACAGUGGUUACUAUGGUGCCCAGCUCACCUCAUCUUGUCUUCUUCUGCUUCUUCAUCCUCUUCUCCGCCACUUCCACCACCGCCACUGACCACAUUGUGGGUGCUAACAAAGGCUGGAAUCCUGGCAUCAACUACACUCUAUGGGCCAAUAACUCCACCUUCUAUGUUGGCGACCUUAUCUGUACCUCUCUCUCUCCUUGCAUCUUUGUACCUAAAUCAUCUACUUGGAGUGAAUUAUAGUGCCAAAACAUUCAUGGGUUACUUCAUAUACACAUUUUUAUGCUUGAUCUACUGCAUAAUGAAAAUCCAGUUCCAUAUUUUUGGUUUCUUGAUAAUAUGUAUGGUAGGAUUUGGAAUUACUGGCUGCUAAUGUCAUAUAAAGAUGUACGUGUUUGAUGAUUCUUUUUCCUGGUUUGUUUCUGCAGCAUUUAGGUACCAAAAGACCCAGUACAAUGUGUUUGAAGUGAACCAGACUGGCUAUGACAACUGCACCACAGAGGGAGCACUAGGCAACUGGAGUAGUGGUAAAGAUUUCAUACCUCUUAACAAGGCCAAGAGGUACUACUUCAUAUGUGGGAAUGGGCAGUGCUUCAAUGGCAUGAAGGUUUCUGUUCUUGUUCAUCCUUUGUCUCCUCCACCAUCAUCUAGCGUUUCUGCUGCUAACCAGACUUCACCUGAUUCUGCUGCUCCGGUGGUUUUGCAGAAGGGGUUGGUAGGUUUUAGGGCUUUUAUUGUGGCAUUUACUUCCAUCUGGUUUGGAUCUGGUUGGAUCUAGGACUAGUGGAGUAGUGUUUUCAUUUGGUUGUUGAGGCCUAGUGAGAGUUUAUUACUCCAGCUCAAGUGUAUCGUUUCUGGUCUUUCUUUUCUUUUCUUUGUGUUUUUAGGUCAUAAUUAUUCUCUUCAUUUAUCCAUUUUUGCAUUAGAUGUCAUUUGGAAGCGUGUAUUUUAUUUGGCUAAUCAGAAAGCUUCACUGGAAUAUUAC
rnacentral:misc_RNA from 1 species